rnacentral:rRNA from 1 species
CCCUACGGGACGCAGCAGUGGGGGAUAUUGCACAAUGGGGGAAACCCUGAUGCAGCGACGCCGCGUGAGUGAAGAAGUAUUUCGGUACGUAAAGCUCUAUCAGCAGGGAAGAAAAAUGACGGUACCUGACUAAGAAGCCCCGGCUAACUACGUGCCAGCAGCCGCGGUAAUACGUAGGGGGCAAGCGUUAUCCGGAAUUACUGGGUGUAAAGGGAGCGUAGACGGCUGUGCAAGUCUGGAGUGAAAGGCGGGGGCCCAACCCCCGGACUGCUCUGGAAACUGUAUGGCUGGAGUGCAGGAGAGGG